rnacentral:rRNA from 1 species
UGGGGAAUAUUGGACAAUGGGCGAAAGCCUGAUCCAGCCAUGCCGCGUGAGUGACGAAGGCCUUAGGGUUGUAAAACUCUUUCGUCGGGGACGAUAAUGACGGUACCCGAAGAAGAAGCUCCGGCUAACUUCGUGCCAGCAGCCGCGGUAAUACGAAGGGAGCUAGCGUUGUUCGGAAUCACUGGGCGUAAAGGGCGCGUAGGCGGCAAUUCAAGUCAUCUGUGAAAUCUCCGGGCUUAACUCGGAACGGUCAGAUGAUACUGCUUUGCUAGAGUGCAGAAGGGGCAAUCGGAAUUCUUGGUGUAGCGGUGAAAUGCGUAGAUAUCAAGAGGAACACCUGAGGUGAAGACGGGUUGCUGGGCUGACACUGACGCUGAGGCGCGAAAGCCAGGGGAGCAAACGGGAUUAGAUACCCUGGUAGUCCCUGAGCGGGCUGGCAAGGCGCAU